rnacentral:lncRNA from 1 species
CGAGUUAUAGCUAGAACCCGCUUUUCCAUCACUUCACUAUAUAUCCUUCCUUCAACCAUGUUUAUAACGAAUUUAGCAUACAGGCAAGCAGGCGCGCCGAUCAGUUGUCGUAGGUGCGGCACUCGUCGGUCUCCGGGUUCUCCUUGCAGUACUUCUCGAGCGGGUCGUUGUCCUCCUUGAGCUUGUCCCGGGCGUGGCUCGCCGCGGCGCUGAGCUCCUCCACCUCGUCCCACGCCGCCGCGCACUCGCCCGAGCCCUCCUCGCCCUCGCACGUCUGCUCCGCCUUCUUGAUGCUCUCCGACACCUGGUCGGAGAUCCCCGGCGGCGUGGCCGGCCCGCUCGACCUCACCGCGAAGCCGCGGCGCGCCGCGGCCGGGAACCAGACGCGCCCCGCGGCGGCCUUCCUCCUCAUCGGGAGCACGUCGGCGGCGGCCGCGAAGGUCGCCGUGGUAGAAAGGCUCGCCACCGUCGACGCCAUCUUUGCAGCUAGCUAGCUGUGUGUCUCGAAGUUUUUUCUGUGAUCUGUUGUGGCUUUACUUGAAGAACUGUACGAGGCGUUGUUUUGGAUGGAUAUGAGGUUUAUUGUAUAUAUAGCUUUGUUCGUCACAGGCUAAGCCAUUUUACGUGCACUCGUUUCUUAUCGGCUCUUGGCCACUCGUUGCGGUGCACGUCGCUGCGUUUAAGAUACUUGAAGGACAAGUGUGACUUCGGAAGGAGAUCUUUUGCUCUAGCAGACUCGCAUUGUGCUUGCAAAUUCGUGUAGAACACGAUACUCGAUGUGAGGUUCGUGUCGUGCCGCUUGUAUGAAACGUGAAUUCGAAAAACUUGUUUCAAAGCUGCAUUUUAGUCAAAAGGCAGUAGGGCCUUUCUUAUUGCCUACUAUUGGGGCACUCGUACGUCGUGGUACGCGUCACUGCGGUAGAGAUAUUUGAAGGGCAAGUGUGACUUGGGAGGGAGAUCUUUUGCGCUCAUGCAGUAGUGCAGGUGUGCAAGCGUUUGUGCGGUUUUUGCGCUUGUAAAGUUCGUGUACAACACCAUUUUCGACGUGAGGUUUGUGUUGUGCCGCCUGUAGGUGCGUGAAUUCGACGAGUAAAAUCUCGUUUUCAGCAUGCACCAAAUAUCUAAGAUAUUGUGAGAGGUUAGGUGCAGCUUUUUGGACAACUUCUAGUGGAGCAAACAACAUAACGUAGCUACAUCUCCUUUUGAAACUUUUGAAAAAGUUGAAGUUGUUAUCUCUGAUGAUGCUAUUAUACUCUCCAUAAAGAAUUGCAGAAAUUUUACGACACUGAACGAAAUCAGUUUCAAUCGACAUACCACAAUAUUUCUUGUCUGAAGGCCACCACGAUAGAUCACUUGUUGAUGGUGCCAUUUUGUUUUCCAGCAAUUAAACCGCAACCGGUCGAAAAGGUCGGUGUACUCCAGCAGGAAAUAGACGGUCAUGGAGAAGUCAGCUGCUUGAAAACAGGUUCCCAAUCAAAGGAAUCAAUUCCAAUUUCCAUCACAUCUCAUCCUAGCUGGAUGUCUGUCCAACCAUGUUCUUGUUGGUGCAAAUUAUAAUUUUACAGGCAAGAGGCUCGCAUUCCCUACCAUCACAAGGUUGCGAGGCUCAUCCGUACCAACAGAAUUCCAAUACUGGAUUAUGCCCCCACAAUGACAAUAGCUAAUUCCGUUGGAAGCAUGAUGUUCCCACGAAAUUCCUUCGGAACAUUAGUUCUCGCAACUGUUACCGGUUGCAGUAAUCCACUGGAUACGCCCAAUGUUCAACCAGUAUCAAUCAGUUCGUAAAGAAAUCCUGCUCUAUGGCUUAUGAACGAUGAUUCAUAUGUGACAGAAACCAUGAAAACUUAGUUGCAAACUUUAUGGGUCCAAUCAAUGGUGCUGAUUGCUGAAACCAGCCUUCAAAGGAAAUGCACUACUCCUGGCCAACCACCGAAAGAAUAAUGUAAUUCAGUAUCCACGUCAAAACAAUGCAUGUCUGUCUAUUUAGUGGGGUCUGUCUUUCCAGGGAGCACAUCUUAAACAUACUUGGAUACAGAAACUUGAAGAAGUGCAUGGCCAGCUUUAUAACAUUGCUCGACCCAAAGAUUAUUGGGGAGGAAAAAGUAGACAUAAACCACCAGACUCAUGGAACAGUGUCCCAAUCAACGAUCCAGCACUGUCCCAAUAGAAGACGAUAAUGGCAGCAAAGAGAAAACAGGAAAAAAAACAGAGGUUUAUUGGGCUGGAGUGGGAGGCGUCAGCUCUGGUGGGGCCUCUCGAGUGACACCGAUCGUGGAAUCAUAUUCUUCGUCCUGGUGAGCAAACUUCUUGGGCAGCACCUUCUCGAACUCAACCUUCUCAAGUGGCUUGGCAUUCUCAGCAGCAUGCUCCUUGGACAGACUAAAAUAGUUGGCAGCCGAUUCAGCAAUAAAAGCUAUUUCAUCAUCAGUGAGCUUCCUCAGAAAUUUGGCAGGGUUUCCUCCCCAUACCUAAAUCCAACAGAGAUUAGUCAAGAAAAUAUUUCAAGAAAUAAGAUACCAAACAAGACCCAUGUAGCAUAUCCUUGUUCCAAUUCCACCCAUGGACACUAGAACUUAAUAUGCCACAUGGAUAUUAGACACCAAAGGACACGUAUAAUAAAGUGGCCUGUGCAAUCUAGCAUAAUCAAUUGGGUUCCGUCAUUGCAUGUAAACCCUGCUUUGGGUAUGUCUUGGUGGAACCAGUUGGAUGAAAUAAAAGAAAAAAAACAAAGGUGCUAGAGAUGGCUUAAAUAAGAACCAAAACUAAAGGACAGUUGAGGAAACGGUGUGCCACCUCUCCAGAAGGGAUCCUUGUAUUCUGUCUUACGAGGGCUCCGGCAGCAACCAUUCCAUGCUUUUCCACAAUGACACCAUCCAAUAGGGUUGCCCCCAUACCAACAAAAGCUUCAUCCUCAAUGGUGCAUCCUUGUAAGACAGCGCUAUGACCUGCCAAAUGGGGUUUUCCAAAUGAUAAUUUUUGUGUAUUAUUUCAGGAUCAAGAGCUUUGAAGAGCUGAGACAUACAGAGAGUUGUGCCAAAUAGUAUCUUAUUGUGUUUGCUGUGCUAGAUUCUGAUGUAAGAUCGUGACUCAUCAUUCAUCAAUAAAGUGUGGUGAUAUGGGACAAAAAUGAUUAAAGAAAAAAUACAUGUUGCUUGAGAUAAGAACCAAAAGGUAUAUUUACCUACUGUGACAUUUUCACCGAUAAUUGUUGGAAAGACUUUCCCACUUAGAUUAGACUUCGCCACAUGCACAAGAGAAUUGUCUUGUAUAUUGGUCCCAGAUCCAAUCUGAAUGUUGUUUGCAUCCCCUGACAUUGAGUUCACAAACUAGUUCAGGACCCAAAGAAACAACUUAGAAGAACAAAAUGUAGCAUGAUAGACAGAGAAAUUUUAAAAAUUGUAAAAAGAAACAACUAAAUAAUACUAAGGAUUGUCUAUUUGUAGAUCAAAACUCUGCAAACUAACUAUCCCAUAGUCUUAAAUACCAAGCUAUCCUUGCAAAGGGAGAAGGCUGACCUAGGCAAACAUUCUAGCAUCAUGAAACCCAUUAGAUGAAAUGAGCCACUAGUCCAAGGUUAUUCCAGAAAACCCUGUUGGCAAUGGCCAAGGUAAGCUCCCUGAGCUCACUCUCUAACACACGCACACUCUAGAGCUAGAGGUAGAAGAAGAUGAUAGGAGCACAGCACACACACACCCAAACUCUUUGGUGCUGCUGAACUGGGUAGAGCUGCAGCUGCUCUUCCUACUUUAUAGACCCAAAGGUCAAUGUAGAGUACACAAAACCAUGAGUGAAACUACCAACUAUCUAUCUACUCUAGUACUACAAAGUGACUGGGCAUACUGCCCUUCUACUGAUGGUACUGAUGCUGAGUACAGCAGGCAGGCAUGGCCCAAAUCGUGGAGCUUCAACUGCUCCAUUGACUUUAGCAAAAGGAAGAGAUAAGCAAUGAGCUGAGCAAUUAACUAACAAACCCGAGCUUAACACCUCCCUCCCUCCCUCUCAUUUCCUAUUUUCUGUAGAAUAAGGAAAGUCCAUCGCCCAAAUCCCCUCCUACCCACAGUAUCUCAGCAACCACCUUUCUCCAACCAAACAUGCAAACCAGAUGAAAAAGGUCAAAUGAACACGGUGUAUCAAGUUACAAACAUUGAGAAGCACGAAAGCACACAUGUCAUGGAAAAACAGACUUAUGAACCCACCUAUUGUGGAGCCAAGAUCCAUGAUAAGGGCAAGAUUUAACCCAACCAAGCAGGCCCUAAAGGAUAUUUUAUUUAUCCACAAGUUGAUUGUGUUUUGAUAUGUGCUCUUUUUGCACAAAAACAAACAGGGUGCAUGUGCAUCCCACAACUACAAACAUAUGUCAAUCACUGAACCAAUCCCUAUAUAAGUUGCAAGAUUAAGAAUGGUAUACAUAAUCAAAACAGUUGCAUUAGAAGCAAAUCCCACUCAAUAGAACACCAAAUUGAAAUUUCAACCCAACAUUAACACUACAUAUUCAUAUGUCAGUUAUGUAAAAUAAUGAAAAAAAAUUAUCACCAAAGUUAUCCAGAAAUAUACCUUGACACAAUUAAGUCACAUAAGGAAAGACCUUCGAAGAGAGACAAACAGAAAGCAAAUGACUAUUCUUUUUUCCUUUUACAUUUCAAGUAUUGAAUGAUAUGCAUGAGCAUAUGAGCUUAUAAUAUGGUUAUAGAGACAACUUAGAAGUAACCACCACUUAGCUCUUCUUUUCUUUUUGUGUGUAAGAUGAUACAAAUAAUGCUCACUGGGAUAGGAAGCACAAACCUCUUAGAACGCACCCGUACCAAAUGGAAGCUCCUGGUCCAACUUGAACAUCACCAAUAAGUGAUGCACUUGGAGCAACAAAUGCAUCUCUAUGAACAUGAGGGGUUUUGUCAAAGAUGUUCAUGAGUGUGCGAUGCCUUGAAACUGAAAUUGUCCAAAGAGCAAUGAUGUUAGCAUUUGGUUAUAAAAAUGUUGCACAAACAACAGUUGUAUAAGAAUCAUAAUGCUGUUGAAAUGAAAUAAAUCGUGGGUAAUCUUACGGAGACAGCAUCAUGCAUAGAAAUACCGGAUUGAACAAAAGAAAAUAUAUAAGAUUUCAUCUGAACGCGGUAAACUAGGGGCCAUGGACAUUAGAAAUUAUCAGCAAUCAUGGUCCAAGAGAGAGAGAAAAAAGAUGACAGAACUCGAAGGUGCCACAUGACGGACGACCAUUUUAGUUCACACAAUCCAGAUGAUGACAGUCUAAAACCAGAAGGAUAAAUAAUAUCGUGCAGCUUACAUGCAUUCUUCAAACUUUCUCCAACAUGAAAUAUAGCAUAGAACAAUUGUUAAAUGCUUCCAAGCUGGAGUAUAAAUAUAUGUAUGACUACUGCAAGAUAUAUCUAUUGUUUACACAUUAAAAAUAAAUCACGAGAUUUAUCUUCCCACAAACAAUUAUUGUUGCAUGCUAGCAUGGCAGCUAACCCUAUCAUGUUCAGAACAUUCAAAAUGAAUGAAAAUUUUUAAUAUGCGCUUCUUUUUUUCUCAUAUCAUUGCAAUAAGAAGGAAAAAGGUUCAAAUAUAACACACCCUUACACUCUUAAUGAAUUACAGUAUGCACCACCAGAUAAAAAAGAACCCUCGGUAGCUACUCAUAGCACUAAAAUCAACUCACAGUUGUGACAACCCUUGACCCCUGCCAUACACCAAGGCUAGAACCAAGUACACUUCUUAUUUAAACCACAGAUACUAUGCAUUCAGCACACCUAAUGUACCUUUUAGCAAUAUGAUUCUUAGCCACCUCAAUGCGCUAACAUAAACUGCAAAUCUAUGCUGUGUAAAACGCCAUCACAGGAGCAGCUCAUCUCUAGGAGAAUGUAAGUAUGCCAUACAUGAACACAUAAUUAACUAUAGAAGUUACGAUUUCUGUUCCAUACAUGUUGACCUAGACUUGGAAGUCGUUCUGAUCCCAUUAAGUCCUAAUUUCAAUGGCUUAAGCAUUUUCAGUUUCCUCACCAAAUGGUUCUCCCCUAAUAUGCUUCAUUAAUGAUACAGUAAUUACUUAUUAGGUCCAAACUGCCCAAUCAGUAUACCUCCUAUUCAUUGGUUGACUGGUCAGAUUAUCAUCCCACCGGUCUUCAUAGGAAAGGUUAAAAAAUACGUGUAAAGAAGGCGGUAAAAUGCAUCAGUUCUAUGCCUGGCUUUCCUAUGAAGAAAACAAGGCAGCAAUGCCCCUUGGUUACUGGAAUGUGGCUGCACGGUGCUCCUCACGGUUCAUGUCAGGUCCUCGGCUCAAAUCAUGGGUUCUACAACACUUUUAGGUACAAACUACAAAGAUGUUCCAAGGGUCCAGCUAGAUGGCAGAUUCUGCUGAAAGACAUCUGGUUCCAUAAUAUGUUCUCCUGUGCAAAGCAACUCACGUGUACAUACAAGAUUAGCUAAAGAAAAUGUAGGAAAAAAACAAAAAGAACCCAACGGAGUUCUAUUGCACUUGAAUCAUUCCCAAAAGUAUCAGUUUAAAGAUGAAUAGGCUUAAGAAUCCAUAUUUCUGGUCCCAACUAUUACUCAUUAUAUAAAACAAUGACAUACUCUAACAAAGUAAAUCUUCAUUGACAUAAAAAAAUGAUCUAAAUAGCAACACUCCUGGUCAAUAUAAACAGUGUACUCAGCAAAAGAAAAUCAGCAAGUACAGUAGUUGCAAAGAAGAAAUACAGUAGGGUGGCACCCUACAACGGUACCAUACAUGUCCAACUCAACACCAUCAUUAAAGUCAUUAACACAACAAUUUGACAUCUCAGGAACUUCAAGUUCUACAGAAUUUGCACCUUCUUGUAAAACCCAAUACUGCAGAAAGCAUGAUCCACAAUCCACAGGUAAUAGUUGGCCUCCUUAAUCGGCCAAUCUUACCAAUUCGUGAAUUAUAACACAAUCAAUUACAGAGAAACAUCAAUGAAACUAUGCACACAUUAAACAACACUAGAUUUCACGAAAAUGCAUUGAGCUCACAAAAAGGUAGGUCCAUUUCGAGUCGAAUCAGGGCACAAUAACCUAAUAACCCAAAACCCUGGGCAGCUCGACCUAGCCGGGCGCAAUAGUGCGACAUUUCCCUAACCGCUCCUAACCCUAUCCAACAAUCCCGAUUCGCUGACUCCUCUCGGGCCGCUCAGGACAGACGAAACCCGCUCCACUCGCGGAGUGCUUGGGCGAAUCGACGGACACCGGAGGGUGAUUCGGGGGGAGAAGGGGUGGGGCGGAGGGGCAGCGGCGCUUACUCUGCUCGUGGAAGAAGUAGUUGCCCUGCAGGCGGCAGCCGAGGCGGUCGAGGGCCUGGCCGGUCUCCCGGAUCCAGAACCCCACCGCGUACAUCGCCUUUCCCAGGCCUGCCAUCUCCCCCGGCGGCGGCCAAAAUCGCUAGCGGCGGGCGCGGCGGAGGCGGAGCGGUGCGGAAGCGCUCGUGGCCUUGGAGAUCUCGAGGAGGAGGAUCGGAGUAGGGGCGAGCCGAGGUGAGGGGAACGGGAGGGGGCGGAGAACAGAGGCUGGGGCCUGCUCCGCUGGGGUUUCCUCGGUGCUCGGAAUUGACCGUUUUACCCCUGGGAAGAGAGUGAAAUGCGAAAGGUGUGUGAUGUCGAAAUGAAGAUGGAAUCUAACGGGUUGACAAAGGAAAAUAGGCCUAAUAGCCCAGCAGCGACGGGCCAUGGUCCAUGGGCCUAUACUUCCAAAAUGCCAGAUCAAAGUCAUCAAACCCCCAGAGUACAGGCCCAAGACCAUUAAGAAACGUUAUGGGCCUCAAGCGGCCGGCCCAUCGCCCCAUGUCUUCCCCUCCAACUCCGUCGAUCUCACCGUCGCACUUCCUUGAUCUCCUCCUCCACUCUACCACUCCACUCCACCGCCACCGCCCAACCUCCAAUGGCGUCGCCUCGCCGCCGCUUCCUCCCGCUCCGCUUCCUCCUCAUCAUCAUCCCCGUCUCCCUCUUCCUCGUCCUCCUCCUCCUCCAACGCUCCACUCAUCCCACCGCCGCGCUCCUCCGCCCCGCCGGCUCCGAACCCAGCCCCGACCCCCGCCGCUUCUCCCUCCUCAUCAAGCUUCUCGCCUACGACCGCCCCGCCGCGCUCCGCCGCUGCCUCCACUCCCUCGCCGCCGCCGACUACGACGGGGACCGCGUCGCGCUCCACGUUCUCCUUGACCACCGCCCGCCCAACUCCUCGCUGUCCUCCCUCGCCGCCUCGCACGAGAUCCUCGACUUCGUCGACGCGUUCCCGUGGCCGCACGGCGAGAAGCGCGUGCACUACCGCGCCGCCAACGUUGGGCUCCAGGCGCAGUGGAUCGAGGCGUGGUGGCCCGGCUCGGACGACGAGUUCGCCUUCGUCGUCGAGGACGACCUCCAGGUCUCGCCGCUCUACUACAGAUUCCUCAAGCGGGUCGUCAUGAAGUACUACUACGACCGUGAGAACUACAGCCCCUACGUGUUUGGUGCGUCGCUGCAGCGACCUCGGUUCGUUGCAGGUGAGAGCUUAUUUAUCACUGAGUUGCGAAUGCUUGUUUACUCUCUUGCCUUAGUUUGGAAGAAAGGAUCCGGGAAAGCAGGCUGUUAUUCACAAAUGGGACCUGGCGUGGUAGAUGAUGUGUUUUCUGUAGUUCGGGGAGAUGAAGCUGCUAUAUACACCGCGGUUUUUUUUUCCCUGCCCCAUUUGUGCAGAUGUGUCCCGUUCUUUGAGAUUAGUUAGAAGACUGACUCUGUUUUGUGUUUUCAUGCCUGAUUACGAGGAUUUUGUGCUUAUAAUGGAUUUCUGCGCUUAUGAUUUAUAAAGUUAAUUGUCAUCUUGUACAAGAGCUCCUGACACUGGAACUUUAACCACUGAUGUGAAAAGAAACUAAGUAGGUUUUUGUCCAAGAGCUUCUGUCCCUAGAAUUAUGAACACUAUCUGAAGCAACUAAGUAGGCUAAGUUAGAAAUGAUGAUACCUUGCUAUUGUGUUCUAAUCUCUGGCAUCAUCUUGUGUAUCGGUAGAAAGUUGGAGUCUAGCAACUUAAAGUUUUCUGCCAGCAGGAAUAAUGCCUCCACAAGUUCACCUUGAAGCAUGCAUUCAUAGUUCGGAGGGCAUUGAUCUCAUAGUCUCUCUCUGCCUGUAAAGUUGUUUGAUUUUUUUGGUCUUUUAGUUGCCUGCAGCCAUGUCAUAUUUGGUUAGUGGGGUGUGAUCGUGGCCUAUUUUGCUGACUUUUUUUUCAGGAUAAUGUGCUUUGUUUCUGAUCUUCAAGAUCCAGUAAGCUUUAUUGACAUGGUCUAGGACAAACAGAGGUGCUCAUGGAAAAUACUGGCUGCCUGGAACCUAGGAGUGACCAUCUGGUUUCUUUAGUUAGAUUGAUUCUGAAAAAUGCGACUGAGAUACCCAAGCUGAAGAUAAAAACUGAACUAAUUAACCGAUAUAAAUUGGUUUCUCACCUAAUCCAUUGACACUACCUUACACUAGGGUAACACAAACAUACUGAAAUUUUUACUUUGAUUCAAGAAAACAGCAAAAGCACCUUCUCAGUGGCAAAACUGCCAAAUUGAAAUUAGCAAAAUCACUUUCAUGAAACCAAUUUUAGAUUUCACUAAGUACACAGCACCUUGGCAAGAUGACGAAUCCAAGAGGCAUGAGCGGUGUUGAGAUGCUGAGCUCAUGCCCCUCUUUGUUUCUUCUGCAUCCCUACCGGCUUGAGAACUCGGCGUUUGGUAUUCUUAGUGGGCAGUGGCCGAUGGGCCAUUGGUUGGCUGCAGGUUAUUAGGGAUUGGA